AAGUGGCUCCCAAGUGAAUCCCCUAGUUUCUCCAUAUAACCCUCCAUGCCUCUACUGGGGCUCAGCAGCCUUACCUCCCCUGCUCUUCAGGGUCAAUUACUCCUGCCAAAAUGACUCUUCUUUUUACCUGCUGGUCCUUGAACAGAAGAUAUCCCAGAUGCCCUGAGGGCAGCUUGCAGGUCUAUGGAACUUAUGCUGGGUCCUCUGGCAAAGAUGCAUUCUCUUUGUGGACCAAGACCUGCCUAGAGAACAGGUAGUUGCAAGGAGGGAAGCAGAUCAGUGGAUCAUCAAGUGUGAUGAUAAGUGAGGCCACCCGGCUUCUCUUCCUUGGCUCUGGGCCCCAUAUAUUCUUUCUAUUGCAUAUACAACACCAUGUAGGAAUCUCUGACUUAAUAUACACAAUGCAUUGUGAAGGCUGGCACUCAAUUCUUUCAGAAUAUUGUUUCUGAGCUGGCACUCUGGCUCUGCCUUCUGCAGGCCAUUCUCAGCACUUUAGGAGAAUAGAUGCUACUAAAUAUUGAAUAUAUGAUACAAACAAUAUAAUUCAUUGCUAUGUACCAUUCCUGCACCUCAUACACUAAAGGGUGAAUGAAUCCUCUAUUCAUAUGCCAAGUUGUAUGAGACUCCAUGCUUAAAGAUCUUACAAUCCGUAUGCCCACAGUAGUGGUGCAGGCUCGAGCUCUAUAGACAAUAUCAUAACUAGAAUAUGUAUAUUUUCUUGUGUGAACUAAUCGGUGGCCCUCCCAGGAUAAAAGGGGCACAAAGUAGUCAAUGUCUCACUAUUUCACUGUUUGUUUUCCUUGAAGAAUAGCACCUUCCCAGAAACUCAGCCUUGAUCUGUGUCACUGGCAAGUUGGACAUUCAUGAGAGAAGUGUCUUGAUUAACUCCCUUGGCAAGUGGGAGUCCAUGCUAUUGAGCCCAAUGCACCUCCAUCUCUGCCACUAUGGCCACCUGUUUGUGUGCCCCUGGAGAAUUCAUAUACAUGAGUAUCUUUUCAAGAGUGAGAAGACCCAAAAUAAUGGUCAAAGCAGAAAGUUUUUAUACUUUUAGAAAAAGAACAAUAAAUUUGUGAAGAAAUGACAAGACAACAGUGUAGAGAGCCAAAAGCCUGUGGGUUGUAACCUACUCAGCAUUCCACUGGAGGCUAUAUGAUCAAACAACAAACUGUUUGUCAUGAAUGCAGGAUGUGGGAAAACUCACAGCCGCCAGAAGGUAUGCUGAGUGCAAUCACUCCCUGGUACCAUUGUCCUUGAGGUUAUCUACUGGAACAUCUAAAGACUACUGUUCAGAGAAUACAGUGGUGCAGGCCUGCACUGAGUCAAGCAGCCUACUGACAACCACCUCCUUCUCCCUAUCUCCUUUUCUCAAUAAAUAUGAAGGAAGCUAUAAGCUCAGGGCCCUUGUUCACUAAAAGCAAGGAGCCCCCUGACCCCGUCAUCCAAAUAUACUCUUUUGUCUUUGUCUUUAUUUCCAUGUGCGACCCCCUUUGUUCCAUCCAACAGGGACUGGGGCCAUGACACAAAAAGAUCUAAGCUAGGGACAGUGAAUUCCAGGGAAGUCACUAGGAGAUGUAUUGGUGUGGAAUGUCAAGGAGGAGUUAUAAAGCUAGUGGGAGAUAAGAGUUACUUUAGUUUAUUUGUACAGGUCUACUGCAGCAAAAAUUUCCAAACCUGGGGAUACGGUUAUUUUCUUGUCCUGGCACAGGGAAGGCAUCUUUCUCCAUGGAAGUUUUACGGCUUGCUAUAUGCAGGAAAAGGCAGGUCAGAUAGUCACUUCUGGAACUACAGUUUCCAAAGUGCUUUGAGCUUGAAGUAAUCAAUACACUAAUUUGGCAUAUUUUAGAGUGGCACACUUUUAACUCCUUUAUUUUUCCUGUCUGAAACUUCCGUAACAGUUUCAAAUUAAAAGCUGAGUUGGUAUUUGUGGAGAGAAGAGUUGUGUUAGCAGCUGAGUGGCAAGGGAUCUGCAAAGGGAGAGAAGAACACAGAUUAGAAGGAGAAUUAAUAAGCAGAAAAGCACAAUCUAAACACAUUUACCCAUACUCCAUUCAACCAGUCUCCUAUCCCUGACAAUGGGUCAGGCCAAUUGAAUGGUUUAGCUUCAUUUAUAUGACGAAGAGUGUUUAUCUUGUCUUUCAAAAAGUUCAGAUUAGAUUCUAUUUGUCCCUGGUGGUUUACAUAUAAGCAGCAUUCCUCACCAAUGAUUGCACAUGCUGCUCCUUCUUGGGCUGUCAUUCUAUCCAGGACAUGGUGAUUCUGGAGUACGACAGAGGCUAAACUGUUAACUUCUGGUUGGAGUCUUCUCAGUGCUUGCAUAGUAAUACUGACUCCUGUUCUAUUACCAUGGAAACAUUGAGAAUUUCCCUUUCCCUCUCAUAAGUUCCAAAGCCUGGGAAAAUGGAUCUCAGCAUGGAAAGGAACUUAGAAUUCUGACAUAUAAGGGGAUUUUCUGUAACAUCUCAUUUAGUACGCUUGUGUGGCAUUACUUUAUAAAAAAAGGAGCCCAAGUUUAUAAUUUGGCUGGCAUUGAAGGAGGAGUACUUGGUGACGAAGGCAUUGGGUAUCUGAGUCCCCAUCAUUCUGACCAUGUAGGUGAGAACCCUUCAUAGACCUUGUCACCACGCAAGAUAAAAAGACCAGUGUGGUUCACAAAUAAUAUCAGAGUCAAAUUUGUGACCCAACAGAUUGGGGUUUGUUGUGCCUGGUCUUCUGUCAUAUUGGCAUCUGUGAAUCUGUAUGUGUCUCUGUCAGUCCAUAGGAGCAGAACAGAUUGCACAAUAUCAGAUAUAGGAGAUCUUUAGUUUGGUUUUGGCAGCUAUAGGGCUUGAUUUUGUCACCUGGCCAAGUUAUUCCACAUUUUUUGAAUACUCACCAUGCUAUCACCAUGUAAUCUUUGGUGCCUAUCAGUCUAAUGAGGAGAGCAAGUGAGCAAAUCCAAGUUGCACAGGGCUGACUUCUGGGCCAUCCAUAACAUCUGGUGAUGUGGCAAGUGUUUGUACCAUAGGAGUGUCAAGACCAUUUAUGACCUUCGUGAGAGGCUUAUGUGCCAUCUGUGGCAUCAAGUCACAGGGUUUGAUUGUGCUACUGCCUUGGGAAGUUACCUGUGAAAGAUCCUGCAUCAUCUCUGCUUUCAGUACAAAGGGAAAAAUCCCCUUCUAAUAUCUUUACCUAAACAAACGACAUUCCUCAACCUUCUACACAGGUGUCCAACUCACCAAAAAGAGAGGUCUCAGGAAGGCAGACGUGUGACAAGACAGACAGACUGACACACUUCUUGUGGAUGCAGAUCUUUCCUGGGCCACACACAGUACCAUCUUUCACGUCACCAAUGUCAGAUUGGCUAUGUGGAUGCUGGAAGAUGGGGAAAACUUGUUUCAGUCUGAACAUUAUCCUUGCCAUCAACUUGCCUAAAGAGGUUGGAUUCAUCUGGGCGGUUUUCACUGUUGCAAGUUAGGUACCUUAUUCCAUGAGGUGCAAGUAGCAUGGAAGAGAAAAGCAAAGUUCAUAGACAAAACUUCAAAGAACAAAGAUCUCUGAAUUGGGAGGAAAUUCUAACUGCCAGAUUUGUUCUCGGUAUUUCUCUUGAUAUGUUUUCUGCUUAUUAUGGAGUGACAGUUGUUGUGGUUGGGAAGAUUGAAAAUGGGAAGCACUAAUCAAAGAUAUAAUGUUGUGGAAAGGACUGAUAAGCUACACAAACUCGUAUCAUAUUAUUCUUUUUCUUGGAGCUCAGCAUGAGAGCAGGCAAUAACAGGAGAAUAACUUCAAAAAUAUCUGUAAGCCAGAUUCAUUGUCUUCAUUCCUAGGGCUUACAGAGACCAAAGCUCCUGAAGUACCAUCAUUCUACCAGGGAUACUGUGAGGUGGUCCCACUCUAAAUCCAUGUCCUCUAACAUCAGUGGACUGUCCAGUGAGCUAACAGCCCACUUAUUCAUGUUUGAUAAACUCUUCCUUUCCCCACAGCUGUUUCAAAUUCAUCAAGACCCCUCUCUACCCAUCUUCCCUCUUAUUCCAAUGCCCUAAUGCACUAUUUUCCUAUCUGUCUGUCACUAGUAUCUGUCCCAUUAGAGUCAUGGAAGUAAUUCAGCUGGUUAUAGCCUGCAGUUGUUUUCCUUAAGGGAAUAGAACAGAAAUAUCAGAAGGCAUCCCUAGAAGAUCCUUAGCAACUCUUGAACACACAGUGCCAAAUAUUUGGGUUUAAGUGUGUGGAAGGCCACAAUGUCACAAUAUAAAAUGGAUUUCUUUCUCUGGAGUAUGAGAUAGAUAUAUAUACCAAAUUCAAAGACAAAAUGGUUUCUAGGCCUUUCACCAUCUGAAUCCACCUACGUCUACCUCUUCUCUACCUCACUCCCUCUCUAGUCUCAUUAGCCCCUCAUAGUUCCAGAUCAUCUCUCCCACCUACUUGAGGACUGUUUCUAUCAAUUUUCCCUACUCUCAACUGCAUCUUCAUCUUCUACUACUUUUUCUAUUCCUUACUGGCAAUUUGGGUGACUACCUCAUCCUGAUUUUCCCAGGACAGUCCUGGUUUUAAAACUGAAAGUCCUGCACCCAGCAAUCCCCUCAGUCCCAACCCAACUGGAAUAGUUCAUCACCCUACCUACACCCAUGCUCAAGUCACUCAUAUCUUUACAAAUGAAAACAAAACAAAAAUUCAGAGACUUCACAGCAUCCAGUGGACUACUCUGGAUACCAAAUUAUGCAUAGAACCAAACUUGAUGACUUACCAUCAGAAGAAACAGUAGUUUCCAUGGCCAUUUCUGUGUAGAUGGUUUAUACUACCCUUUAUCAAUGGUUUGUAGCUGAGGCCACAGAGCAAAGGGAAACAUAAGCCCUCUCCCUUUUGUCUCUCAGGUGACUAAAUUCUAGAUUUAGCUACUUAGCAACAAGGAACUUUCAAUUCUACAGAAAUAAUAAUAGACUCUCAAGAAUAUCUUGCUCUCAUCCUGCUAUUUCUAUACUCAUUUCCAAAUUCAAUCCAGUUGGAAUUGGGUUGUCUCCUCACCUCCAGUCUAUGAACCCUGACAGCACAGGUUUGUAAUUUUGCUCAUGCCAUUGCAUUGGUCUAGACUGUCUAAUCACUUUUCCCAUUGAACUGAAUUACGGUAACUUUCUAGGGCAAGAUCAAAUUCCACUUCCAUUAUCAAAUCUUUCCUAAAUAAUCCAGAAAACAUUAACAUCCUGUAACUCUCUUUAUAACUAUAAUAUGCAAUACAUUUUUGUGUGACAAAAUUUAUAUCCUUGCUAUUUUCUGUUUUAUACGUGAGUUUUAAAAAUUGCAUCUCCUAUUAGACUAUAAUGUUUUGGAGAAAAAUAUGCUCAAAAUGGUUGGUGGAGAAUUUAUGGUAUAGUGUUUGUUAAAAUAUAUAAUCAAUAAGGUGAGUUCAAUAUAUAAAAACUACACAGGAUAAGGACUAAUUUAAUAAAAUAUUAACUCUAACUUUGGGAGUUUCUGUUUUAGAUUCUUGUCAACUCUUAAUUUACCUGGUAGAAUCAGAGCCUCAUGAGAUAACCAUCAAUUAGAAGCAGUUUUAAUUACAGUCCCCUUCCACUUCCUGCUGGAAAAGAUUCUACUAUUUAUGCUGGUUUCUUUAGAAAUCUGACGAGGUUCCUUUUUAUAAACUGUUUUGCUCAUACAGGCAAAACUGGAGACACCUGUGCCUUAGGAGGGAUAGAUACAAAGAGGUUUGUCUUCCGCUGGACUCAGUGGAUAACCUCUGCUUUUAUACCAGACAUCACUUACAAUUAAGUAUACAUAGCCCCAAAAAAUGAGAGUAGAGGAAAUCACAUACAUUCAGUCAUGGAAAAAGCUUAGUAGCAAGCCAGUAGCACUAGUAAGCAGAGCAAAGAAACCCUAUGCAGGGAGAAAGAUAAGUGAGGAAGAAUAGAAUUCCUGCUUCAACAAAUAGUAACCUGCAAGAUCUAUA